UGACUGAAAAGUAUGGUGUAGAAGCCUCAUGAAUGCAACUUUAUAGAGGGAAGAGGAAGGCAUUGGAAGCAAUUGAGGGUAAUCAUGUUGCAUCAUAUAGUAAGUUGUCGAAGUAUGCAAAUGAAAUAAUGAAGACUAACCCAGGAAGUUUGGUUAAAAUUGAAAGGGACAGAGUUGGUCCUAAAUUAGAUGUAGUUAUGUUCAAGAGGAUAUUCAUAUCACUUGCAGCAAUGCAGAAAGGGUUCAAAGAUGGUUGUAGACCUUUUAUAGGUGUGGAUGGGUGUCAUUUGAAAGGUCCUUAUGGUGGAGUCUUGCUAGCUGUUGUGGCCUUGGAUGGGGAUAAUGGUCUAUUUCUUUUAGCAUAUGCUGUAGUAGAGUGUGAAUGCAAGGAGAGUUGGAGAUUCUUCUUGUACCAUCUACGCACCAUUAUUGAUGAUGGUCCUCAAAGCAAGCCAUGGAUUAUAAUGUCAGAUGGCCAAAAGAGCAUUGAACCUGCCUUGAAGGAAGUCAUGCCUGAAGCAACUCACAGGAGGUGUUGUAGACACCUGUUCAAUAAUUUUAAAUCAAAAUUUCCUUGUUUGAAGCUUAGGGGAUCAUUUUGGGCUGCAGCUAGAGCAUAUACUCAGAAGGAUUAUAACACAGCUAUGAGGCAAAUUGAAGAGGUGUCAAGACCAGCCUAUAAAUGGUUAAAUGACUUGAAACCAGAAGUUUGGGCUAGACACACCUUUGAUCCUAGAGUGAAAAGUGACCAUAUCACUAGCAACAUGGUUGAAUCAUUUAACAAUUGGAUUAGGAAUAUAAGAGGGAAACCUGUCAUUAUAAUAUUGGAAAGUAUUAGGACCAAAUUAAUGGGAAAAUUGCAUAAAAGAUUUGAAAAAGCUGCUACAUGGGAAAAUUUGGUGACCCCUACCAUUAGGAAGAAGUUAGAUGAGCUUGUCUUCAAAUCAAGGAUGUGCAAGAUCACAUUUGCUGGUGGAGAUGAAUAUCAAGUGAUGGAAGGUGUUACUGUACACAUUGUAAACCUCCUAAGUAGGUCCUGUUGUUGUAGAGUUUGGGACAUUAGUGGAGUCCCUUGCAAGCAUGCAGCUGCUUGUAUUUCUCAUAGGAGAAUGAACAUUGAAACAUUUUGUGAUCAAGCUUAUCAGAGGCAUAAGUUCUUAGGUGCAUAUGGGGAUAUUAUUCAUCCCAUACAUGAUGAGAGUAUGUGGGAUGAAGUUCCAGAAGAAGCUUUGAAGCCUCCAAUUCUUAAAAGACUGCCUGGUAGGCCUCCAAAUAGUAGGAGAAGGGAAGUUGGUGAAGCUACCCCUGGAGCUAGUGAUUCUAGAAGGUCAUGCACUAUUAAAUGUACCAUAUGCAAAGAAAUUGGGCACAACAAAAGGACUUGUCAAAGGGCUCCUGUGAAGAGAAAGGGUAAAUCUAGCUCAAUUAGUGGUUCAAGUGUUUCUACAGCAAGGCAAACAAGUGGGGUUGCAAUGAGCCAAGAAAGUAGAAAAGGUUCAAGCCUAGGAAGUGGAAUUUCUAUUAGAGAGAGUAAUGCAGGUGGCAAUUGCACAAGUAAUAGUAGAGGUUCAGGUCAUGGAAUUCCAACUGGAAGAGGUGCAAGUGGUAGAGGUUCUACUUCAACAGUGGUAGGGGGACAACAUGUAAGUAUCACAUACUUGACUAUUGAAUGCAUUGAAACAUUACUUAUUUAGUGUCAUUAUAUUUUUAUUUGAUGUGAUAUUGUAGGAUGAAGGGCAGCCUGGAGUGCAGUCCAGUAAAUGGAGUAUGUCUUGAGCAUGAUGGUUGGAAAUUAUGCAGCAUGCCAUAUGAGAUGGAACAAGAAAUGUAAUGUUUCAAGACAAAUUAUAUGAUAUAUUUUUGUGUAGGUAAUGUGGUAUAUUUUUGUAAAUGGGGACAAUAUAAUAUAUUUUUGUAUAUAUUCUUGUAAAGGGGAACAUGAUAUAUUUCACUAAAUUAGGAAGAUGUCCCCUUACAUGUUUUGUGAAGGGGACAUGACUAUGUAUGCUCAUUUAUUUU